rnacentral:lncRNA from 1 species
UCUGAACAUACAAGGAAACUAUAAUCUCCUCCUUCACCUUAUCGAUCUCUUCCUUAUAAUAAUUCAACCAUAUUAAUAAUUACUAUUUCCACCAAUAUAUUCACCCUCAUAAUCUCCAACUGUAAUACUGCGCCCUCACAGCUUUUAGCAUACAAUUAUAGUCGUUUCAAUCACUGGAAUUCUUCACACUGAACUGCCAUUCACAUUACAAUAUUUCACACAAACACAGACUCAUUCUCUCUGUUGAACUAUAAUCAAAUUUCAGCAUUCAAUCUUUCUUCUUUUCAAAUAAUACCAAUUACAUUUCCAUUCCAUAAUUCAUUUCAUAAUAUUCAGAAACUCUCAAUCCUCUUAUUCAAAGAAAAUCACAAACAAAAAAAAGAGGUAGCACCAAGCUUACCCCGGCUCACACUAUCAUAGCAAUGGCCUUUGACUCGCAACUAUCACAGUUUGGCCCUCGGCUUACGACUCUCACACUCUGGCACCCUAAUUAACUUCUACAACUCCUAUAUAUUUUCCCCUGAUUCUCAAGAUUCUAAUCAUAAUUUUAUAAUUAACUGCUUUUAAUAACUAAAUCACUCAUCUGUCCUCCUAAAUAUCCUAUUAUAUGGACUAAUAAUAUAUUUUACCAAUAUCUUUCAAAAAUGAAUUAAUAUCUAUUCUACAUAGCCCUACUCCUAUCUGUGCAGCAUCCUCGCAAACACUCAAUUGAUACCUAUCUAAAAAUUAUCUAACAAAACUCUACAAAAAUUGCGAUCCCUUUGGCCUAUCUAAUUAAUCAAUUGCCGCAUUAUCUGUUAUUGGUUCCAUCGAUUCCAAUUCCAACUACAAAUCUUUGUCCUCUUCCAAUCCUUCCAUCGGCUCGUGCUUCAACUAAGCUGAAAGGUCUUCAUUGUACUCGCCCAAUUCAUGGACUUGACCUUCCAAUUUCAGGAUUUGGGCAUCUCUCAAUUCCAAUUGUUACUACUGCUGACUCAUCCAUUCUGGAAUAUCUUCAAUCCACACUUGUGACCGACUCUCACUGUUAAUUCUUAACUAAAACUACUACUCUCAAAAACCCAAGAAAUACAAUAAAAUGGCACUCCAGCCAACCCAAAACAACACCACAGAAUGACUUCAACUCGUGCCUCACUCCUAUUCUUUUACCUAGUAGUGAUAACGACAACAUGUUAUCCCUACUCUCCGUGAAAGGUAAUGAGAAGUAAUCUUUCUUAAUGGCCACAUUUAACUUUCAAAAAACUUGAAACCUUGUUGAUGCCUCGAUAGUCCACGCACAUCCGCAACGAGCCAUCUUUCUUCUUCACAAAUAAGAUGGGUGCUCCAGCUGACGAUUUUGAAUGACGGAUGAAGUUCUUGGCUAGAUUCUUGUCGAUGUACUUCCGCAACUCCACCAAUUCAAUCUGCGAUAGAUUGUAGAUUGGGCCAAAAGGCGGUUGUGCUCCUUCCUUUAAGUCUAUGGUGCAAUCAUAUGGUCUGUGUUCUGGUAGCAUGUCGGCAUUUUUCUUUUGAAAUACGUCUUUAAAUUCCUUAUAUUGCUCCGGUAUACUUGUUGUUGAGAUCUUCUCCCUGGUAGUUGGAGCCGCAUAAAUGACAAACGAUGUGCCUCCCUUGGACAAUCUUAUAAAUGCUCUUGCUCCAAUAAAUAAGGAUUUCUCUAUUCGGGGUUUUCUACUAGGCUUGCUCUUGGGUGGUUUUGUGGGAAAGGUCAUCUUCCGCAACUUCCAAUCUAUGGAUGGGUUAUGCUUUUCCAACCAGGAAAGACCAAGAAUAAUAGGAUUUGAUGGGGUUUUAAUAAUAUUGAAAAUAAUAUGACUACUAUGGUCCUUAAACGUCACUUCUAUAGGUUUUGAUUCAUGGGUGACACUACCAGACAAUAAAGGUCGUCCAUCUAUGACCUCAACGUGAACAGGUUUGGAUUUUUGUACUAAAAGGAUCUUAUGAUGCUUUGCAAAUUCUUCAUCUAAAAAACAAGCAAAUGCUCCUGAAUCUAAUAAUGCUAAGGUUCUCAGUUUCUAAGGGUCAAUAAGCAAAGGGAUUGUAAAACAAAGGGCAGGUUGAGUAGAAAGAAAGGAACCAGGUUGUUGUUGCGAUAUUUCACUGUCCAGCCGCACGGUUCCUAUUGUGGCUGGGCAUCCUCGUUUUCCUGAAUAAAUGUACACCUAGUCUUCAUAAUACGUCAAUUUUGCUUCUUGGGGCAGUUUCCAACUUUGUGGCCUUCUUCAUCGCAAUACAAGCAUAGACCUUCCUCUAUACGCCGCUUUUUUUCUUCUAGAGUAAGAGAUUUGACACAUACCGCAUCAAUUUGCAUGUCUUCUACCUCUGAAUGUAUAUUCACGCUGCUUGCCAACAUAGUUAGGGUGUGGCGAACCGUAUGUUGUCUUGAACGUUGGUCUUGGUGACGUUGGAAUAGGCGAUUAUCGCACUUCACAGCUUGGCUAAUAGCUUCGUUGAGCGUUUGCCGAUCAGGAAGAAUUAACAACAAAUCCUUCACAUCGUCCCUUAAAUUCCAAUAGAAUUGACUCAUCAACGCUUCUUCGUCCCAAUUGAUGUCACAUGCUAAUUGCCUGAAGUCCGAUGCAUAGACAGAUGUAGAACGCAUCCCUUGUCGUAGUGACCGGAUCUUUGUUGUAGCCCAUCAAACCUUAUCGUGUUCACCAAAUGCUUCCGCAAAUGCCUCCAAAAAGGUUUCAAAGUUGUUUAGUAUGGACGAUCGUUUCUCAAACAAAGGAGCAAACCAUGAUAGAGCUUGUCCUGUAAGUAAGGUUCCAACAAGCCCAAUACGUGACUCCUCUGUUGGAUAGCGUUCGGGCUGUAAAACUGUUAUCAACCUGAUUUGGUUGACGAAUCCUCGAAACUUGGAACGUGUACCAUCAAACUUGUCCGAAAGGCUAACUCGGGGUACCUCAUGUUGUAGAACCAGCGGUGCUUGUCGAACCUGAGGCAAAGUUGCUUCUCCAAGUGUAGAAGUUUGAGGCAAGUGUAACUUAGAUUGUGCCAUCCCAGAUGCUCCAUCAUUAUGAAGCCUUGCCACGACUCCUUCAAUCUCUGCAGUUCUUUGCGAUAACAUAGCGAGGGCAUUCAUGAUAGCAUCUAACUUGGACUCUGAACUUUCCGUCAUACUAAUGUCUUAGCCCCCGAUCAUUCUAAGAGAAGGACAGAAAUGACUCUACAAAAAGACAAUAUUGGUUUAGAGGAGGGUACUCUGCAAUAUCUAAAAUGCCUUAAGAGCUUCAAGAAAAGGGGUAAUCCACUCUCUCCAAGAAGAAUAAGACUCCAAUAUUGUAACAAAAAAAGUAUCAAUUUAGAAGAGGGUAAUCUGCAACCUCUAAAGUGCUAGUACACUUCCAAGAAGAGGGGUAAUCCACACUCUAACAAAGAAGAAACUAACUCUGAUAACUGAGGUGAGUGUAUUCUCGACAAACUGUCACGGACACAGAAAUAUAGACUUGAGAUCUAACAAGAAGUUCAAGAAGAACUAGCAAGACUAGAUUAAUCAGAUGAGAACAACACUAAAGAGGUGAGCUAUAGCUCCAAGAGAUGUAUUGUCGAGACUGAAGAACUCUUUAGCCUCGAUCCCAAUAUAUACUUCUAUUUAGGAAGCUUCUCAAGCAACUUCUACCAACUAGGAAGCUUCUAGAAGGUUCCAGAGACUUGCUUCUAGAAGGUUCUAGAAACUUAUCUCGAGAAGGUUCUAAGGACUAUGUCCCUAACAUCUUCUACCAACUAAGAAGCUUCUAGAAGGUUCCAGAGACUUGCUUCUAGAAGGUUCUAGAAACUUAUCUCUAGAAGGUUCUAAGGACUAUGUCCCUAACAUCUUCUACCAACUAAGAAGCUUCUAGAAGGGUCCAGAGACUUGCUUCUAGAAGGUUCUAGAAACUUAUCUCUAGAAGGUUCUAAGGACUAUGUCCCUAACAUCUUCUACCAACUAAGAAGCUUCUAGAAGGUUCCAGAGACUUGCUUCUAGAAGGUUCUAGAGGCUUGUCUCUAGAAAGUUCUAGAAACUUGUCUCUAGAAGGUUCUAGAAACUUGUCUCUAGAAGGUUCUAAGAACUAUGUCCCUAACAGAAGCUUCUAGGAAGCUUCUAUAUUAAAUAUUAUAGAAUUAACUUAUUUUUACCUAUUUUUACUUACUUCUACCUAUUUAAUUACUAGCUUAUAUGAGUACGACUGUGACAUUACAUCGUCUUGAAGGUUGUGACAAUCAUAUUGUCUCAUUCGAUAGGUCAGCAAAUGUAAGCCCUUGAGUCAAAUCCACUAGUUGUUGGUUCUCUAUUUCUUCAAUAUCACAAGUACAAAGAAGCUACAAACAAGGAUUGAAAGUAGAAUGUUAUCUUACUUAGAUCUUUUUUUUUUGUAAGAAAGAUUUUCAUCUUGAUUUUGAUGGAUGUCAUCGAUGAAAAGCCUCCACCACCUUUGCUACAUUUGUAAGAUUCUUUACUGGCUGCCAUGUGCAUUCACUAAUAUCAUAUCCGCAUCAAUGGAUAAGAUAUUCUACUUUAUUUUGGUGCCACCUUAAAUCUAAGACUUCUUCCACUUCAAACUCUUUAUUAUUGUCCACUUCUACAAGAAGAAGUGGAGCUUGUCUUCUUCUUGGUAUGUCCACUGUCUUGUAUGGUUCAAAACGAGAUACAUGGAAUAUUGGAUGGAUUUUCAUUGAUUCUUGUAGAUGUAAAGGAUAUAUAACUGGAUUGAGUUAUACAAAAAUAGAAAAUGAUCCAAGCCUUCGAUAGUCCAACUUGUCACAAGGACGAGUGAUCUUGAUAUUGCAAUAAAGUAAUCAUACCUUAUCAUCCAUGUAGAAUGGUGGUUGUUCCUUUCGAUAGACAUCCACAUUGACCUUUUGUUGUUCUUGAGCUUCUUUUAACUACGCCUUUAUUGUUGCAUGUAGCUCUCACAAAUAAAUUUUCAAAUCUUUUGCAGCAGGAUUAUCAACUUUUGAAAAGUCAAAAGUAUCAAGUCAUGGAUGAUAACCAUAAUUAGCAAAGAAAGGUAUUUUUUUUGUAGAAGAAUGUACUGUGUUAUUAUAAGUAAAUUGUGUUAAUGGCAAAAGAGUUGUCCAAUCAUCUUGUUGGUUGUUAAUGGUACAUCUUAAAUACUGCUCCAAAACUUGAUUAACAUGCUCUGUUUGUCCAUCAAUUUGAAGAUGGAAUGCCGAAGAUAGUUUUUAAUCUACUUUUAGAAUCUUGAAAAGAGUCUGCCAAAAUCAUGAUACAAAUUAAGUUUCCCUAUCUGAUAUAAUAUCCUUGGAUAAUCUAUGAUAGCGAUAAAUGUUGUCAAGAAAGAGCUUAACUGUUUCUUCACCUAUAAUAGAUUUUGUACAUGGUACAAACUGUGUCAUCUCGGUAAAAUGAUCCACUAUCACGAAUAUAGAGUCAUAAGAACUUGAGAUUGGAAGAUCCGUGAUGAAAUCCAUAAAAAUAAAAGACCAUGGUUGUUUUGGAAUAGAUAAUGGCUGAAAAAGUCAAUAAGGUCGAUGACAAGGAGUUUUUGAUCUUGAGCAAACAUCACAAGAUUUUACUAAAUCUUUGACUGCUUUCUACAUUUGUCGCCACCAAAAGUCCUUGGAUAUUAGUUCCAAAGUUUUAUUAUAUCAAAAAUGUCCUACUGCUGGAAAGUCAUGACGAGCUUGAAGAAUUCAUAAUCGAGCUUUAUCUUCUAGAACAUAUAGGCAUCUCUUAAAAAUAUACUAGAUUCUUCUUGAAUUCAAACAUGAAAGUAUCAUGAGACUUUGAAGGAUUUUUCUUAAUAUCACAAAUAAGAGGAUCAGAAGACAUACUUCAUUGAACUUACUUAAUGAAAGUUGAAUCAAUAGUUAGUGUUGAUUUCAUUGCUCAUAGAUGAAGAUGCUCUGGCUUCAAGAGAAUUGUUCGUUGUUUAUGAAAAGCAACAUCUCUUUCCUUUGGUGCAAGAUAAGAUCAUUUAGAGAGUGCAUCUCACAAACCAUAUUAUUUUCCUGGUUGAAAAGUGAUCUUGAAUUCGAAUCUUGACAAAGACAUACUUUAACAGGCUUGGCGACGAUUCAAAUCAUGUGUCGAUGUAAAAUAUUCAAGCUUCUUGUGUUUCGUAUACAUUGUGACUAGGCUAGAAGCACCUUCUAGAUAAUGGCACCAUUCUUGAAACAAAUCCAUAAUUACAAAAAGUUCUUUGUCAUGGAUCUUGUAGUUGAUCUCGGCUAUUAAAAAUUUUCUGGAAUGAAAAGCUAUUAGGUGAAGUUUAUCAUCUGUUUCCAUUUGUGAUAAUACGAUAUCUAAAGUAAAGUGUGAUGUGUCUAUUUUCACAAAAAAAUGGCUUAGAAAAAUUGACGCGAUACAAGAUUGGUGCAGAAACAUAGGCUUUUGCUUCAUGAUUCCAUUGAAGUUUUUCUUUACAAGUCAAACGUAUAAGUGGAGCUGCAACUUGAGAGAAGUCUUUAAUGAAGAUCCGAUAGUAGUUGGCAAAUCCUAAAAAGCAUUGGACAUACAAAUAACAUUGGAGCUCUUGUUGGAGAUUUGGAAUGGCGUAUGAAGUUCUUGACCAAAUUCUCUUCAAUAUACUCAAUGAUGUAUCCUAAGAAGUCGAUAAAUUGUAGAUUGGUCCAAAUGGCAGUUGUAUUCCUCCUUCAAGGUCAAUUGAGCACUCAUAGCAAUGAUGUUCUGGAAGAAUAUCUGCAUUCUUUUUCUCAAAUACAUCUUGAAAAUCAUAGUAUUGGCUUGGAAUGCCACCUGAAGUCUUUUCAUCAAUAGAAACAGGUGUGGCAUUGUGAUUGCUCAUUUUUCUUAUUCCGAAAGAAACCUCCCAACAUAAAUCCAUAUUGGGAGAUUCGAACAUGGAGAAUGACUAGUUGCUUAAGUGUUCACAUUAGGGUCACACAAUCAUUUAUCUCCUAAAUGUAUCAUCUCUAUUUUCAAUAUCUGAACAUACAAGGAAACUAUAAUCUCCUCCUUCACCUUAUCGAUCUCUUCCUUAUAAUAAUUCAACCAUAUUAAUAAUUACUAUUUCCACCAAUAUAUUCACCCUCAUAAUCUCCAACUGUAAUACUGCGCCCUCACAGCUUUUAGCAUACAAUUAUAGUCGUUUCAAUCACUGGAAUUCUUCACACUGAACUGCCAUUCACAUUACAAUAUUUCACACAAACACAGACUCAUUCUCUCUGUUGAACUAUAAUCAAAUUUCAGCAUUCAAUCUUUCUUCUUUUCAAAUAAUACCAAUUACAUUUCCAUUCCAUAAUUCAUUUCAUAAUAUUCAGAAACUCUCAAUCCUCUUAUUCAAAGAAAAUCACAAACAAAAAAAAGAGGUAGCACCAAGCUUACCCCGGCUCACACUAUCAUAGCAAUGGCCUUUGAC